GCCAAACACCACCAAACUUUCAUCUUAAAUCAACAUGCAAUUCCAUAAAUAGGUUCCUCUCAUCUCAAGCUCCAAGAGAAGUUAUAGAAGCAAUGAACAUGGGUACAAGAUGCAAGCUUUGGAAUUUUGAUCGGUGAUUUUUGAAGAAGUUUGGGUUAAACCCGUGUUCUAGGAUAAGGCUCCACUAAAAAG